AUAUCAAUAAGCGGAGGAAAAGAAACCAACGGGGAUUGCCUCAGUAACGGCGAGUGAAGCGGCAAAAGCUCAGAUUUGAAAUCUGGCGUCAGUCUGGCGUCCGAGUUGUAAUCUGUAGAGGAGUGUUCGAGUGUGGAUUUGGCUUAAGUUCCUUGGAACAGGGCGUCAUAGAGGGUGAGAACCCCGUUAACGGCCUAUGUCUUAUGCUCAUGUGAACCUUCUUCAACGAGUCGAGUUGUUUGGGAAUGCAGCUCUAAAUUGGUGGUAAAUUCCAUCUAAAGCUAAAUACUGGCAAGAGACCGAUAGCGCACAAGUAGAGUGAUCGAAAGAUGAAAAGAACUCUGAACAGAGAGUUAAAUAGUACGUGAAAUUGUUGAAAGGGAAGCACUUGCUACCAGACACGCCUGUAGUUGAUCAGCCUCCAUUUUUGGUGGUGCACUUAGCUAUAGGUGGGUCAGCAUCAGUUAUGGCGGUGGGAUAAAGACCGUGGGAAUGUAGCUUCUUUCGGGAAGUGUUAUAGCCCGCGGUGUAAUACCAUCUAUUGUGACUGAGGCCCGCGCUUCGGCGAGGAUGCUGGCAUAAUGGUCGUAAGUGA
rnacentral:rRNA from 1 species